GGGUGGAGAAAGGUUUUGGAUUGAGUGAGAGGAAAGAGUUUAUGGGAAGUAGGAAAGUUGAGAACUUUGAGAUUGCAAUAAGAAGAAGAUGGGGUUUUGAAGAGAAAAAAUCUGAACAAGAUGCGAACAAAAUCUGAAAAUCUGAACAAGAUGGGUUGAAAACUCUCAUUGUGAAAAUUAACUCAUUGUUGAAGUUUACUGGGUUCAAUUUGUCAUGAAGUUCGAAGCUUUUUGGAUCUGAAUGCUAUUAUUACC
rnacentral:lncRNA from 1 species